GCACUAGUAGCUCAGCGACAGAGCACCGGUCUUGUAAGCCGGACGCCGGAGAUUAAAAUCCUCCCUAUUGCU
rnacentral:tRNA from 1 species